rnacentral:sRNA from 4 species
GUUUGCACUUGUCGGGGAAGGGUGAGAACCUUCGAUUAAGGUUCGACUCGAGCGAAAGCGAGAGAACGUUGCCAACGGCAAC